CGGAGGGUGCAAGCGUUGUCCGGAUUUAUUGGGUUUAAAGGGUGCGUAGGCGGUCUUUUAAGUCAGUGGUGAAAUCCUGCAGCUCAACUGUAGAACAGCCAUUGAUACUGAAAGACUUGAGUACAGACGAGGUAGGCGGAAUUUAUGGUGUAGCGGUGAAAUGCAUAGAUACUAUAAAGAACCCCUAUUGCGAAGGCAGCUUACUAGGCUGUAACUGACGCUGAGGCACGAAAGCGUGGGGAUCAAACAGGAUUAGAUACCCUGGUAGUCCACGCCGUAAACGAUGAUUACUCGAUGUUCGCGAUAUACAGUGAGCGUCCAAGCGAAAGCGUUAAGUAAUCCACCUGGGAAGUACGAUCGCAAGAUUG
rnacentral:rRNA from 1 species